CCCGGAGAGGCCAGAAGAGGGCGUCUGUUUCAGCCUGGGCCUUCAGGAGAGUCUUUCCCACGGUGGUGAUGACAUUGGGGAGGGGCAAUGGGAGCCAGCUGGGGCGAGGUAGGUGGGGUAGGUGGCAGAGACGAGGGCAAUGCAGUAAGCAGUUGCCGGGAGCCAGUUUAGGGGGGUGAGGAGCCCUCGGGGCGGUGCAGGGAGACUCUAGAAGCAGCACGCAGCGGCCUGGAGUCCAAGAUCUGAGAUGUGGUGACGCGGCAGGAGGCCAAGGUCAUCAGGAAGCAAGAGAACGUGAAAGGCCUCGUCCACCAGGGCUGUGAGCCCAGGCUUUGCCUUGUAGGGGACGGGGGACCUCAGAAGGGUCUAAAGCACGGCUGUGAGCAUCAUGGGCGUUGGCUCUUAAGUAGCUCACGGCGGCCUCCCACCCUUCUUUCUCCCGUGUCCUCUCGUCUCCGCAUCUUGUGACUCCAAAGCCGCAUGUGAUUAUUGUGGUGAACCCUAAAAACAGGAAACGACUGGGGGCUGAUAUUCACACAUUCACAGUUCGCCCAGCUGGCAGGCAGGCCGGUCUGCCGGGGAAUAUUAUGGGCCUUUCUCUACCGGGGUCCCUGCUCCUGCUUGGUCUUUUCGUCGAUUCGCACUGCUCGCUCCUGUCCCCGAGGACCUGAGCGGGGGCAAGAGACAGGCUUGGGGACCAGAGGCCCCGGGGGAACGAAGCUCGCGAGAAGCCUGCGGUGACUGGGCCAUGCUCUUUCCGGUCUCAGCAAGUUUCAAGCUUUCGCUUUCACUCUCCUUCGGAGGGGAAAAUGAGGGCCCAGUUCUGAAGAUCACCUGCCUUCAGGGUUGUCCGCACCCCGGGCUUUAGGGGGGCCCCUAGGCCCCAAAGAUGGAUCCCUUGAUGUGUUGAAAACUUGGCGGUGAAGGGAAGCAAAAGUUCUUCGCUACCCUCAAGGUCUCCCACCCGAACUGACAAUUACAUCGAUGUGAGACAGAUUAACAGGAGAAAAAAACACCCUGAGUUUUAGGACGUGCAUAUGGAGACCUCAUAAUGAAAUGGAGACCUGCAGACGUGCCCGAGGAGGCAGUUUUUAUACUUUUUAGACAGACGAGAAAUCUGCGAGGAAUUGAGCGGACAAAGAACGCUUAGCUUUGGGGCUUUAAUUAGUAAAGAAUUCUAAGCAGACAUUGGGCAGGGGAGUAGAUUAGUGAAAAAUAGUUGUUUAUUUUUCCUCACCUCUGGUGAUAAGGAUAUACUCUUCACCUCCUGAUCCAGGGAAGGUGCCUUUCACAUGGGAGAUUUACUUCCUGUGUUCAGGGGUCAGAGGAGGGUCUGAGAAUCCUUGCACUGGCUGCCUCUUAAGUAACUUAUUUAAGAAAAAACCUUUUUUUAAAGUUUAUUUAUUUUUGAGAGUGAGAGAAAGAGAGAGAGAGAGAGAAAGAGAGAGAAAGAGACAGAGCGCAAGCAGGGGAGGAUAGGCGAGAGAAGGAGACACAGAAUCCGAAGCAGGCUCCAGGCUCCGAGCUGUCAACACAGAGCCUGAUGCGGGGCUCGAACCCAGGAGCUGUGAGAUCAUGAUCUGAGCCGAAGCUGGACACUCAACCGACUGAGCCACCAGGGCGCCCCAGUAACUUAUUGAAAUAACCAAAUAGCGACACCUGGGUAGCUCAGUUGGUUGAGCGUCUGAUUUUGUUCGGCUCAGGUCAUGAUCUCGCGGUCUGUGAGUUCGAGCCCCGUGUCGGGCUCUGGGCUGACAGCUUGGAGCCUGGAGCCGGCUUUGGAUUCUGUGUCUCCCUCUCUCUCUCUCUGCCCCUCCCCUGCUCACACACUCUCUCUCUCUUUCAAAAAUAAAUAAACAUUAAAAAAAAAAAUAACCACAUAUGCCCAACUGGCCCCUCUUGGGGUGGCCUGCCCUUGGUCCCUACAGCUGUUUAUAAACAACGUCUGCUUAAAUUAAAAAAAAAAAAAAAAUCUGAUCCCCACGACAAACUUGUGAUAGAGAUAAGGCAGACAGUAUUACACACACCUUGCAGAUGAUGGACUGAGGCUCAGAGAGAUUAGGUGACAUCUUUGGGGACACACAGCUGGCGAUCUGUGAAAAUGGAAGUGAGUGCAGCCCAGCAGCGGCAACACAGAAGCUCCCAGAACAGUGUCCUCGACGGAGGCAGCAGAACUGGCAUGGAAAUUCAUGUCGGGUUCUCCUCACCCCUGCUUUCCUAUUCCCUCACAGAGCAAGCCCAUCUGGGAGCUUUUCUCUCUCCAGGCCAGGCUCUGGGUGACCCCUGUCCACAGGGACAUCUCCCAGGCAUAUGGCAAAAUAUGGAUAAGACAGGUACUGCCUUAAGGAUAGGGCGCCUUAAGGGAGGGGCACCUGGGUGGCUCAGUCAGUGGAGCGUCCAGCUUCGGCUCAGGCUAUGAUCUCACGGUUCAUGAGUUCAAGCCCCACAUCCGGCUCUCCUCUGUCCCCCUCCCCACUCUCCCUCUGCCCCUCUCCCGCUCACACUCUCAUUCUCAAAAAUAAAUA